UACAGAGGGUGCAAGCGUUAAUCGGAAUUACUGGGCGUAAAGCGUGCGUAGACGGUCAUGUAAGUCGGGUGUGAAAGCCCCGGGCUCAACCUGGGAAUUGCAUUCGAGACUGCAUGGCUAGGAUGCGGAAGAGGGAAGCGGAAUUUCCGGUGUAGCGGUGAAAUGCGUAGAUAUCGGAAAGAACACCAGUGGCGAAAAGCGGCUUCCUGGUCCAGC
rnacentral:rRNA from 1 species